AUUGAACGCUGGCGGCAGGCCUAACACAUGCAAGUCGAGCGAGCGGCGGACGGGUGAGUAAUGUCUGGGAAACUGCCUUAUGGAGGGGGAUAACUACUGGAAACGGUAGCCAAUACCCCAUACCAUCAGAUGUGCCCAGAUGGGAUUAGCUGGUUGGUGGGGUAACGGCUCACCUAGGCGACGAUCCCUAGCUGGCCUGAGAGGAUGACCAGCCACACUGGAACUGAGACACGGUCCAGACUCCUACGGGAGGCAGCAGUAGGGAAUAUUGCGCAAUGGGCGCAAGCCUGACGCAGCCAUGCCGCGUGUGUGAAGAAGGCCUUCGGGUUGUAAAGCACUGUCAGCGGGGAGGCGUUACCCGCAGAAGAAGCACCGGCUAACUCCGUGCCAGCAGCCGCGGUAAUAC
rnacentral:rRNA from 1 species